UAAUUAGCGCUGCCUGUUCCGACGCGCAGUAAUAAUAUCUUAGACUUAUAAAAAUAACUGAAAGGUGGGCGUUGCCCACGUGAAUUAAACAUGCUUUGGCGAGUCUGGAGCUCUCCCUGGAAGGUGGCGAGAAGCACGUUCCCACGAUUUGGUGGCCGGUGCAGAAUUGUAUGACGUGAAGAGGGCACUAUGGAAUUACGCCAAGACGUUUUCCUGCCCCAGUGCCAGCGGUCACGUGGGGGACCCACGCUGGCACCGGCUCCCCCGUGGCAGAUGGUCAACGGCUGCCCCUGAGCAUUUGCCCAGCGCGCUCAGCCCGAUAAAGCAUUUUGGAUGUUCGUGAACGUACUUUACCAAAUCGUUUCGAGAUGGCUGUUUGGAUCCUAAACACCUCGUACAAUCCCAAAUGGUUGUUUUUCAAGAAGCAUGCAAAGAGGAUAUGUUCCCUGUCAGCUGGAGUCGUCUGGGUACCUCGGAAAAGAUGGCAAAGGGACGGGCUCCCUGGAAAGCGAGCAGCACGCCGGCAGACCGGCAGCGGAGGGCUGGCGGCUCUUCCCUCUCUGUUGGGUCCAGACCUCUGCUCCUCCAUCCUCGCCUUUGACCUUGGCAGGAAUUUGUCCUCUCUGAGCCCCUGCGUCUUUAACAGAGCACAGUACCAUCUGUCUUCAGGGUUUGUUGGAGACAGCCGGGGAUAGUACAAAAACGAAAAGUCUGAUGACGCGGGUAUUCAAAACCAGUAACCAUCAUCAACACAGCAGCCAGACCGUCCAUCCAAAAGUCCAAGGGUUUCUCUGAGGCGGCGGCACGCAGGAGCAGUCCGCAGCUGUUUGCCUGCUCUGUUGCUCCCUUCCGUGGGAAAGCCACGGAAUAUGAUGCUGAGUGGAGGUGAGGAGGGGCCGUGUGUAACUCAGCUGCGAGACGAGAAAAAGCGCAGGAGGGGACGUUCAUAUCCCUGUGCACGUGCUGGUCCUGAAAGCGGAAGGACCCCACCUUACUGGUGUCCCCAAACUCAAGCCCACACCAUCUGGAAGGUCAUGGUCAGUGGACCUCAACUCAAAAGUCGUUCUGACCCCAGGCUGGCGUUCCUUCUGCUUGAGUUCAACACGUGUCCAGAGCCAGGGGCCUUGCUGUUUCCUCACCCAACACAAGGACUUCCUACCACAUGCCGUGAGCACACAGAUGUCCAGCUGCCCCCUCGUGGUCCCCUCAGCACUGUCUGGACCAGCAAGUUCAAGACGCAAGAGUCUGCAGAAAAAGAUCCAGAUUGCUCUAGGAAGGAUGUUUCCAAACCCCCGCCGUGGUCCAUUUCCUCUCAACGUCAGACCAGCAAAAGGACUUGGCAGCAGCUUGGAGUCUCUUGAAUGUGGCCUCUGCGGGGUUUGGCUGGGAGGGUCCCCUCGUCCACUGGUGUGGAGGGGGAGACAGGAGGGCACCAGGACACGGGAGCUGUAGGAUCUCAACUUCAUGCGGUUUCCAAGAAGCAGGGCUCCUCAUUCAUCGAGAAAUAAUUCAAUGCCCUCUGUUCAGCACUCAAAUAGCAGCGGGUUUUUUUCCUACAUCCUUCGGCAAAGAUAACCUAAUGCUCUAUGGGCAGACCUGUUUGGCCUCUGCUCCUGAACAGAGCACCCCCAAAACCUCAAAACUCAUCUUCAAACCACAGUCUCGUACUUACUCCUUCUUCUGAGGGGUCACAGUUUGGGUGGGGCCCAGGGGGCAGCUCUCUGGGUCUCGGCAGGCGAAGGCCUGCUUCUGUGGUCAGCUGACAGCUCGUGGCCUAGGGACAUGGGUGGCUGCCUCACGUGUUUCUUGUCCCCACAUGGGCGAGCUGGAGCUUUGUCAUGGGGUGGCCGUGGAUUUUCAAAGGCAGGAACUGAAGCACGCCUGUCUUAACAAGACCGAGAUCCGGCUCGGCACCCCGCCGCCAUCCAUUCCUUCGGCCGCUCCAGCGCAAACUGAGACAGAAAAGGAAUUACGCAGCGGAGCUCAGACUCUCACUAAUUACCAAAAAAAAAAAGAAAAUAAAAGGGUGCCUUGGCACACCUGUUGAUGAAACACCAAAUGCAGAGGCUACGUCGAGCCUCCUUUGGCUUUGAGGAGAGUGUCUGACGGGCCCUAACGCCCAUCUCAGUUUUCUCCCACAUUCCAGAGCAUUGUCAGAUUUUCUUCGUUUCUCGCUCCAUGGAGUCAAACACAGCUUCAACAUCAAUUUCAUCCAAUCUCUAUAUUUAAAUCUGAAAGCUCCUGCCAGCUGAAUUGCAUGUUUUGAGAGAAUUAAGCUUAGAACCCGGGAGUGGGGUGGGGGGAGCGCGUUUCCUUGGAAACGGCACACAACAUCGCGCACAGAUAUUUGUGCAGUGCUGGGUUUGGAACGAGUGGGUGUUCGUGGCUUGGGGAGAACCCUAACCCCGACACACGGCAGCCCCCUCGGUUACUCGGAUGCUUAGCGUAGGUUUCGGAUCCACGCGGACCAGAAGGGGAAAGAAGCUGGGCGCCGGGCGCUGUUGGUAAUUGUCCUUUGGGUCAGUUCUAAACGGGGAGCAGCCGGUUCUGCAGGGCGGACCCUGGAGGCCACGAGGACGUGGGACCCGGAGGGUUCCUCUCCCAGAGAAACCGGAGAAUCCGAGGGAGCUGGAGGGGGAGGGCCAGCACGAACGCUUGCGGCCGGUUUCCCCCAGAAUUUGCAUCUCCGGGCCAGGCAGAUGGCUCCACGGUCCCCGUCUUGCUUCUGGCCCCCAGGACCCACGUUCCUCCUGGGAAAGCCUUCUGCACAUUGACCAUCAACAGCAUCUGCUCACUUGGUGUCCACGUGGUCCUUCUCCAAGGGACAGCUCACCAUCUCCUGGCUCAGAUUCCACACCUGUUGUCUUAGAAGCUUCCACAUUCUCUGGUCUGUUCCCUUGGGAGCUUCCGCCCGGCCUGGAGGACCCUCCUGACACAGCUGAGAGAGAUGGAGGUGGACGUGAG
rnacentral:lncRNA from 9 species